AUUGAACGCUGGCGGCAUGCUCUACACAUGCAAGUCGAACGGUAACAGGCCGCAAGGUGCUGACGAGUGGCGAACGGGUGAGUAAUGCAUCGGAACGUGCCCAGUCGUGGGGGAUAACGCAGCGAAAGCUGUGCAAAUACCGCAUACGAUCUAUGGAUGAAAGCGGGGGACCGUAAGGGCUCGCGCGAUUGGAGAGGCCGAUGUCAUAUUAGGUAGUUGGUGGGGUAAAGGCUCACCAAGCCAACGAUCUGUAGCUGGUCUGAGAGGACGACCAGCCACACUGGGACUGAGACACGGCCCAGACUCCUACGGGAGGCAGCAGUGGGGAAUUUUGGACAAUGGGCGCAAGCCUGAUCCAGCAAUGCCGCGUGCAGGAAGAAGGCCUUCGGGUUGUAAACUGCUUUUGUACGGAACGAAAAGGUUUGGGUUAAUACCCUGGGCCGAUGACGGUACCGUAAGAAUAAGCACCGGCUAACUACGUGCCAGCCGCCGCGGUAA
rnacentral:rRNA from 1 species